AAAGCCCUGUGGGGUAGAACGAACUGGCAUCGGGCUAAUAUCCCGGUGUCUUGACGGUACUGCCUUAGCAAGCAUCGGCUAACUCUGUGCCAGCAGCCGCGGUAAGACAGAGGAUGCGAACGUUGCUCGGAUUUACUGGGCGUAAAGCGCGUGUAGGCGGUCUCGUUAGUCGGGUGUGAAAGCCCCGGGGCUCAACCCGGGAAGUGCACCCGAUACUGCGAGACUGGGGGUACUGAAGAGGAGAGCGGAAUUCCCGGUGUAGAGGUGAAAUUCGUAGAUAUCGGGAGGAACACCAGUGGCGAAGGCGGCUCUCUGGGGCAGAUACCGACGCUGAGACGCGAAAGCGUGGGGAGCAAAACAGGAUUAGAUACCCUGGUAGUCCACGCUGUAAACGAUGACGACUGGGUGUUGCAGGUAUUGACCCCUGCGGUGCCGAAGCCAACGCGUUAAGUCGUCCGCCUGGGAAGUACGGCCGC
rnacentral:rRNA from 1 species